CCUACGGGAGGCAGCAGUGGGGAAUAUUGGACAAUGGGGGCAACCCUGAUCCAGCCAUGCCGCGUGUGUGAAGAAGGCCCUCGGGUUGUAAAGCACUUUCAGUGAGGAAGAACACCUGGUGGUUAAUACCCAUCAGGAAAGACAUCACUCACAGAAGAAGCACCGGCUAACUCCGUGCCAGCAGCCGCGGUAAUACGGAGGGUGCGAGCGUUAAUCGGAAUUACUGGGCGUAAAGCGCGCGUAGGUGGCUUGAUAAGCCGGUUGUGAAAGCCCCGGGCUCAACCUGGGAACGGCAUCCGGAACUGUCAAGCUAGAGUGCAGGAGAGGAAGGUAGAAUUCCCGGUGUAGCGGUGAAAUGCGUAGAGAUCGGGAGGAAUACCAGUGGCGAAGGCGGCCUUCUGGACUGACACUGACACUGAGGUGCGAAAGCGUGGGUAGCAAACAGGAUUAGAUACCCUAGUAGUC
rnacentral:rRNA from 1 species